rnacentral:rRNA from 1 species
AGGAUGAACGCUGGCGGCGUGCCUAACACAUGCAAGUCGAACGUCCUGUCUCGCAAGAGGCAGGGAGUGGCGGACGGGUGAGUACCACGUGGGUCAUCUACCGUGAGGUGAGGAAUACCGGCGAGAAAUCGCCGACAAGACCGCAUAGGCUCGAUGCAAGUCGAGCAAAGCUCUCUCGAGAGAGGGAGCGCCACACGAGGAGCCUGCGCCCGAUUAGCUAGCUGGUGGAGUAACGGUUCACCAGGGCGACGAUCGGUAGCUGGUCUGAGAGGACGAUCAGCCACACUGGGAUUGAGAACGGCCCAGACUCCUACGGGGGGCAGCAGUGAGGAAUUUUCGUCAAUGGGGGCAACCCUGAACGAGCAACGCCGCGUGCAGGAAGAAGGUUUUCGGAUCGUAAACUGCUUUUCUCGGGGAAGAGAACGGACGGUACCCGAGGAAUCAGCCCCGGCUAACUACGUGCCAGCAGCCGC